rnacentral:lncRNA from 1 species
UGGGAGGUCCUUCCCUCACAGAGCUUGCUGCACAGGCCCGCUGAAAAGUGUGUGUGUGUCCUUGUUGGGUUUUGUUUGGCCCUAGAGCUUGGCCUUUCUGGGCUCUGAUGAUUGUUUUGUACUGUAGAGGUCAGAAAUGGGCUCUGCCUGCUUCCCAGCCAGACACCAGUGUGUAAGAUGAGUCCAGGUGCUUCUGAUCUUGGAUAUCGUCUGCCUCAGCUUCUACCUAGAAUGGCGUCUUGGGGCAGAAACACUGUUGGCUACUCUGGACUUGCUACCCAAAAGGCAUUACUCCUAGCUAGGCUUUUGUUCAACUUUUCUGAGCAACUCACUCCCCCCUCCAGCCACCAUGGACAGAGAGCCUCCUUUGCCUGAGGUUCUGAGUCACCCUUCAGACCUGGGGGAGGGAGCCAGGGAGUGGGCGAGCCUCGAGCCAGAGGAAAGAAGCCCUUAGUGGUGUCGUGGUUCAGGCUCGGGCUCAUAGAAUCCUUUCAGCUUGAGCUCUUCAAACGAUGAUUAGACCAAUUUUACAUGUCUAGUCACUGAGGCCGCAGUAGAUUGGGACUCUUUCUAUAUGUGCAAAGUGAAGUGGAGAAUUGAGGCAAUUAUCUUCAGGCAAAUGAGUCUAGGCUCUGUAAUCAGCCUGUCCUGAUAACUGGGCAACAUCGGCCUCAUGCACAGAGCUUUGCUUUGCUUUGAGGUAAAGAGGAUUCUGAGGCAUGUGUUCGUUUCUCACUUGGCUUUGUUUUCAAAGGCUGUCUGCUGGACCUCCCAGCCCAGCCCACCCUAUGCAGGAGUUGGGCUGAGCCCCACCCCUGUGGGCUCAGCUCAGGUGUGCAUAUGGCUGUGUGAUCUGUCCCAGGCUCCUUUAACCAGCCUCUGCCAUGCUGUGUUUACCUUUCUCUGGACACCACCCUGAGAUCCUGAGCCAGUUUACUGACGUACAGUGUUAGGAUGACAUGAUUCCUAAUGGAACUUAUGACGACUUUGCAUGGUACACAAUGAAGCUUAUGACUGGAGUGUCAUCUUAGGUCCAGAAAUGAAGGCAACAGUCCCAGUCCUCCCUGUUGUGAUUAUUAAACCCUUCAUUAAUUGUGAGCUUUUUCUCAUACUGGCAAUGGCUACCCUCCUGACCCAUCCACCACCUGUGAGGGAAGAACCCUUGCAUGGUGGAGCAGGAUGAAAACGUAAAGUCCUGUAGUCUCCCGUGGCUUCCUUCUCUGGGAGCCACAGUCGCAUGGGAAGGCCCUGUGGUAGUUUGGGUGCCCACCGAAAGGUGUGACAGAGCAGGCAGAAUAUGUGUGGGCACAGCGUCCCUCCCUCGCACAACAGCACAAUUAGAGAACACUGUGUCUUAAUCUGCUGCCUUUGACUGUAAGUGCUUUAGGAAUGGAGGACUUGAAAUGGACUUGGGAAAGGUAAAUAGGAAAGGCUGCUUUCCCUUCAGAGUCAGAAAAUAGCCAUCUUGUCCCCUUGACAUUUUCUGAUGUCUCUCUUAUGAAAAAGAAAGCGGGGGUAGGAGGAGCAUGAAUCUUGCGUCUAUCCUGGGCUAAGUGGGUUUUGAAGGAGAUUUUUGUCUCCAAGGGUUGACUCAUCCUGUGGUCUGCACUUUCUUACUGUGAUCUUGUCUAUUCCCGGUGAGUUUGUUAGAUUGUACUGUCUUCCCGGUGUGUCCCUCAGUUGCUUUACAGCCUGUCCUUCGUUGUUUUAAGACCUGCUGGACAGAGCCUGUGGCUUCCUCCUGCACACUGCGUCCUCGCUCUCUGAGCUUUUUGCCCAUUUAUUUUUCUAUACAAAUUUAAAAACCAUUUUUAUCAAGUUCUGUAAUGGCCUUGGUGGUAUUUUGCCUGGAACUGCAUUCAGUCAAUAAAUUAAAUGAGGAAGCACCGUGAUCUCGUCUGCAUUUAGUCUUAAGCCUGAAGUCUAGUCUCUAUGUAUUCAAGUCUUUCCCACAUUAAGAGUUUGUAUUUUCUUUAUACAAUUUGAAUAUAAAAUGUGGCAUUUGAUGCUUGAAGAAAUGGCACACAUAGGUUUCUCAGGCAUUUGAUACUUGUGUUGCUUUGUGAAUGGGUAUAUUUUUCAUUGGGUUUUUAGGCUGUUUAUAAUGUGUUUAUGGGAUGAUAUUGGUUUUUGUACACUUCCCUCAUAUUCUGCUACAUCUAGAAUUGUCUGGUGGAUGAGGCUUCCAGUAGCUAGCUCUCCAGUGCAUGCUCUGCUGACUCCUGGAGGGAGUGCGGAGUGCUCAGCUCCUCCACCACUGAAUGCCCAGCACUGCUGGUAGGAAGAGAGACACAUAGACAGGGCUUUGAGUUUUCGUGCCAAGACUAAUUUAGGGAGGGACUAACCUUUACUGAGGCUACCUAAGCCUCUUUCCUACCUUUUAGGUUUUUAUCCUAUUUUGUUUUCUAGAAGGACAGAAGAUGAUUAUUAGAAGUUUUAUAUGGUAAGUUUUUAGAUAUUUUAAAUUAAGUGGGAAAUUUUGUUUUUAAUCAAACUGAAUUCUACUACUCCCCAAAUAAUUUAAAAGAGAGCUGAUAUUAAGACACAAGACAAGCCUUAACAAAUAUAGGAAAAUGAAUGAAUUUCUUGUGAUAGACAGGUGAGUGAGGGGCAAAAGAGGAAAUCAAGAAACCCCAAGAAGCAAGUGGAAAUAAAUACAACAAACAUAGUCACUGGCUCAUAAUGAAGAGGUUUCCAGAGCAUUUAUAGAUCUGAGUGCUUCCUUAAGGAAAAGGUCGGCAGGCAUCAGACUAAUUCAGUCUCCAGGACCCAUGUGGUCAAAAGAGCUGACUGACCUUCCUCAAGUUGUCCUAUGAUUUCCAUCGGUAGGUGUGUAUGUGUGUGUACAGACACACAAAAUGUUUUUUAAAGCCCCACGAAAUUCUGAACAAACAGCUCACUGAAGACGAACAGUUGAACCAAGCUGAGUAACCUGCAGACAGGUGUCUCAGGGCAGAAGCCAACAUCGAGGGGAAAAAAAAAAAAACAAAGAAUCAAUGGAAGAAAGAGCUGGAUCGUUGAAAAGAUGAGUAAGAUUGGCAGGCUUUUAACCAAAUUAACCCAAAGAUGAGUAAGAUUGGCUUUUAACCAAACUAACCCAAAGAAAAGGAUAAAGAGCAGGCUAGUAAUUAGCCAGGAAGGUGACAUUACAUCUAAUUGUGUGCAUCCUGUGACAGCAGAAGUGACAAAGGCGGCAAACACAUAAUUCCGGAAGCAAAUAGAGUCCACUAAACUAGGAAAUACAAAGAAAGUGGUUUGAAAUUUUCUUUUUGAAUACAAAAUUUUGAAUUUGUAUUGCAUGUGACUGACCAACGUCAAACCCAGAUGAGGUAAAUAAUUUAAACAAAUCUAUAGCGAGUGGUGAUGUUGGUGCGGUAAUAAUAAUCUCCUGACUCAGAAACAAUUAGGCUUAGAUAGAUUCACUGUGCAUAUGACCAGACCUAACACAAGAACCAAGCACCAGGACUUACCGCAUUCCUCCAUGGAACAGGGUAGGCAGGAACAUUACCAAGCUCCCUUUUAAGAAACCAGUAUUCUUCACAUACCAAGUUGGCCACAGGAACACACACAAAUUAUAGACCAAUUUUACACAGGAAUAAAAAUGCCUAACAAAAUACUCAGAGGGGCCAGUGGGAUGGCUUAGUGGGUAAGCCUGCUGCCAAGCCUGAAGACCUAGCCACCCACCCAUGUAUACUGGAAGGGGAGAGCUGAAUCCUACAACUUGUUCUGUGGUCCUUCCUCCAUGAGCCAUGGCACAGGCACACCCCACAUGUAAUACCCAAGUAUACUUUUAAAACUUUAAAACC